AGUUCGGAUUGAAGGCUGAAAUUCGCCUUCAUGAAGCCGGAAUUGCUAGUAAUGGCAGGUCAGCAUACUGCCGUGAAUACGUUCCCGGGCCUUGUACACACCGCCCGUCACACCAUGAGAGUUUGUAACACCCAAAGCCGGUGGGGUAACCUUUUGGAGCCAGCCGUCUAAGGUGGGACAGAUGAUUGGGGUGAAGUCGUAACAAGGUACC
rnacentral:rRNA from 1 species